AAUAGAUACCCGGGUAGUCCACGCCGUAAACGAUGGAUACUAGCUGUUGGGGGCGACCUCAGUGGCCAAGCGAAAGUGAUAAGUAUCCCACCUGGGGAGUACGUUCGCAAGAAUGAAACUCAAAGGAAUUGACGGGGGCCCGCACAAGCGGUGGAGCAUGUGGUUUAAUUCGAUGAUACGCGAGGAACCUUACCAAGGCUUAAAUGCAGACUGACCGUUUUGGAAACAGAACUUUCGCAAGACAGUCUACAAGGUGCUGCAUGGUUGUCGUCAGCUCGUGCCGUGAGGUGUCAGGUUAAGUCCUAUAACGAGCGCAACCCCUGUUGUUAGUUGCCAGCGAGUAGUGUCGGGAACUCUAACAAGACUGCCAGUGCAAACUGUGAGGAAGGUGGGGAUGACGUCAAAUCAUCACGGCCCUUACGCCUUGGGCUACACACGUGCUACAAUGGCCGGUACAGAGAGCAGCCACCUCGGCGAGGGGGANCGAAUCUACAAAGCCGGUCACAGUUCGGAUCGGAGU
rnacentral:rRNA from 1 species